rnacentral:snRNA from 1 species
GUGCUCACUUUGACAACACCAAUAUUACCACUGGAAUGAUGUAAGAAAAUUAGGAAGGCCUCUAUGUAAGACUGAUAGGCAAUUUUGAGAAGAGUUCUGUAUUUUU